rnacentral:rRNA from 1 species
UACGGGAGGCAGCAGUGGGGAAUAUUGCACAAUUGGGCGCAAGCCUGAUGCAGCCAUGCCGCGUGUAUGAAGAAGGCCUUCGGGUUGUAAAGUACUUUCAGUCGUGAGGAAGGUGUUAAGGUUAAUAACCUUAGCAAUUGACGUUAGCGACAGAAGAAGCACCGGCUAACUCCGUGCCAGCAGCCGCGGUAAUACGGAGGGUGCGAGCGUUAAUCGGAAUUACUGGGCGUAAAGGGCACGCAGGCGGUUAAUUAAGUUGGAUGUGAAAUCCCCGGGCUUAACCUGGGAAUGGCAUUCAAGACUGGUUAGCUAGAGUCUUGUAAAGGGGGUAGAAUUCCAUGUGUAGCGGUGAAAUGCGUAGAGAUGUGGAGGAAUACCGGUGGCGAAGGCGGCCCCUGGACAAAGACUGACGCUCAUGUGCGAAAGCGUGGGGAGCAAAACAGGGAUUAGAUACC